CAAUUGAGGAGAGUAAAAGUGAGAAAUAAUAAGCGGAACUGUUGACACUGUAGUCGUUCGCCCGCGGUUGCCUAGAGCGGACCAACUUCCUGUCCUCUCAGAUGCAAUUCGGGAAAAGACACGAGUGCUCCUGUGAUUCUUUCUCUGAGACUCUACCUUUAUUUUUACAGAUUUGUAUUCUUUUUGUUAUUGUGGUCUUCACAUCUGGGACCCGUAACAAACUGUGGGGGCUCGUCCGGGAUCUCUCCUCUACAGUCGUCGAGGGCAGAUCCAGUGAUACCAGAACCACGACACAAUCGUGACAAGGCCGUUACUCCAGCCAAGCCAGCGAGUAGGUGUCCAGGUAGUGAGGUGAAAAGGGGACCUUUGCCUCAACGUGGAACCGUACUUCAGUGAGGGGAGUGUGACGCAUCCUAGUCACUAUCGAGCUGAAGGAUAAUCAGAAAUACAUACAACAUGUCGACCGAGAGAAAGGAACUCGCCUGGAAUAUCAGGAGACGCUUGUUUUCACUCCAAGGUCAAGACCUCUUCGAACUCGCUAAGAGCCUCGCAUCAGAAAACAAAGACACUACACAGCUCAGUCAGGAUGAUAAAGAAGGUUGUAUGGACUAUAUCACCUCCUACAUACAGUCAAACACACUACUGCAACUUGAAGAUGAGGGCAUGAGUCAUUUGUUGACGCUGAAUGAUUUGAUUAAUCUAGUCAUCCAGGGAAGUAAUCCUGCCGUGCAAACAGCUGGUGAGAAUGAAGUACAUGCCAUGCCCAGUCCACAACCAUCCAAUACCGUGCUAGACCCACAACCGCCGGAAGAUCCACCAGAUAUAUCACCAAACCCCUAUGCAAACGCAGAAACACAACAGUUAGAGGAGUUGAGGAAAGCGUAUGAGACACUGGGUGAGAGGCUAAGACUAUGUGGAACUGUAAGGGCCCAGUCACCUGCUGUAGCACGCCAGCAGAGCAAUUUGCAACCACAACCAAUCAUACAGAUUAGCCCUAAGCAGCCAGUCACUGUAAGAGACUUUUCGUACUUACCACGCAGAGAAUUCAAAGUUUUUGGGGGACAGAUUGGAGACAACAGUUCCGAAAUCAGCUACAACAGUCUCACCAAGCAGAUUAAUGAAGGAGUUAAAGAAGGAUUUGUGGAGGCUGAAAUUGUUCG
ensembl:lncRNA